rnacentral:tRNA from 1 species
GCCACUGUAGUUUAGAAAAACAUUGGUUUUGUAAACCAAAGAACGGGGGCCCACAACCCCCCAGUUGCC